rnacentral:snRNA from 1 species
GUGUUCUCUUCGGCAGCACGUGUACUAAAAUGGAAACAAUACAGAGAAGGUUCAUAUAGUCGCUGUGCAAGGAUGACACAAAAUAAAAAAGCAAUAAAGUGGU